rnacentral:lncRNA from 1 species
CUGGGAGGCGGAGGUUACAGUGAGCCAAGAUCACGCCAUUGCACUCCAGCCUGGGUGACAGAACGAGACUCCGUCUCCAAAAAAAAAUAAAAUAAAAUAAAAUUAAAAAAUAAAAAUGUACUGCAAUGUUAUGAUAGUAUGAGCUCAUGUUGCUAGGAAGUGUGUGUGUGUGUGUGUGUGUGUGUGUGUGUGUGUGUGUGUCUGUGUGUCUGGGUUGAAAAAAUAAAGAAUAUGUUCUAAAAUAUUACUAGUGGUUAGGUCUGAGUAGUGUUAAUUGUGGAAAUUUGGGGGAUUUUGUGUGUUUUUCUGUUCUCCAAAUUUUCUUUAUCUUGUCUUUUAUAACGAGAAAAAAAUUCUUCACAAAAAAAUAACUUAAAUAAACAUAUUUUAAGAAGAAACCUUCUCCUCGGUCUCUGGCGCCCAUAACCUUCAGGCUGAAUUAGCGUGUGCUGAGUGGUCAGAGUUCAGGGCUGGAAAGCAGGGUUUGGGUUUUGUUUGUGGUCAGUCCGAGACUAGUGAAGGCUCUCCUUAUCCCUGACAGUCUUCAGAGCCCAGGCUCCGGGGAGUGACAAGACCUUGGAGAGUUAACGAGGACAAGCUUUCCCUGAGAGAAGCAUCCGCCCCCGGGUGCACCUUGUAAAGGACCCAGGCCCAUGCCGGAGCCCACCAGCAGUUAGGCCCGGUCAGUUUCUGCUGCUUUCAACCAAAGAACCAUGUGAUUCACCAUUCAGAUUGGAGAACAGGAGAAAUAAAGGAAGAAAGGAAGCCAGCUUUUAGUGCAGGCCUGCUAUGUACAGGCAUUGGGCUAGGUACCUCCCAUUCACACUCUCAAUUUAUUCUGAUAACAGCAUUUCAAGGUAGGUUUCGUUAGGCCCAGUCUAACAGAGGAGGAAACUGAGGCUUAACAGCGUGAAGUCACUUGUCUAUCGCAUAUGGAGCUGGUGACAGAACCAGGUCCUAAGAGAAUCAAGACUGUCUCAUCACAAAGUUCACGCUCUCCCCGAUGUCUGAGACACCUUCCUUUGGCACUUUGCUGAUCUUUUAGUUGACAAAAGAGAAGCAUUGAAGGGCAUUCUAUUUUUUCACUCUGGAAGUCGGAAGAGCAGACUCAGAUCUGGCCCUGGGCACAACUGUGAGGCCGACGGGUCUCAGGAACCCUUUCUGUGACUUGUAUUUCUUCCCGCCCACCUCCGGGCACUUCCUGGAUACGUGUCCUUCUUUGCUUGCCCCACAGAAGCUUGCUCUUGGGAAAAAGCCUUCCUGAAUCAUUCCCAUCCUACUCCCUGUGACGGAGAAGGCUUAAAAUGUUUUUAUGUUCAGGGAAGCAUCAAAGAGAAAAAUUUCUAGUUUUGGGAUUGCAGGAGUCAGGAAGCAGGGCAGGGCUGUGAAGAGGACAGUUGUACCCUGAAGUCAUAGUCACAGACCUCCUCAUGUUGAUCAGGCCUGAGGGGUCAGGGCAAGAUGCCCUGAGCAGAGGAGUGAA